UGCCAUGAUCGUGAGGCCUCCUCAGCCAUGUGGAACUCUGUCUCUUCCCAGUCCUCUCAGAGUCUGUGACUGAAUGAGUCAGUGGUGGAAUCCUUCGAGAGGAUGUUUCAAAUCCAAAGUUUGGGCCUUUUGGGAAAGCCUCAGUUGGUUCUGAGCCAAUGGCUCUCAGCUCCUGGCACGGACCUGAUGAAGGAAUGCUAGGUGACCCAGGGCGGAUAUGUUGGCUGCACCAUCACUAGGAACAUAAAUGCCUACUGAAUGCUGCUCUGUCUUCCCCAACAUGUGGCUUCUAUCUCAUGGUACAAGAUGUCUGCUUCACUUCCAGGCAUCGCAUUUGUGAUCCAGUCAGUAGGAAGAGGGAAUAGCAGACUAGAUUCCCUACCCCUUCCUCCCCCAACCCACAAGGAUACUUCCAAGAUGUCGUACAUAAUACGCCAUGUAUGCUGUACUGGCCUGAACUUAGUUGUGUGGCCACACCUAGCUGCAAGGGAUGCUGGGACAUACAGUCCUUAUUUUUAAAUCAGGAGUUCUGGUUUCUAAAGGAAAAAGAGAACGAUAUUGGGAGACAGCUAGUAAUUUUGGCUACAUUCCUACACAGUUUAGGGUGUUUCCUUCCAUACUUCAUUUUUCUAUGCCUAGGGAGAGAGAAUUUAUUUAACCAAAGAUGAGAUUAUAUUUUACGUACUUGUCUGUAACUUGAUUUUUUUUCCUAGUUAAGGAUACAUCAAUAGCCCUUUUCCAUCUUAUUAAAUAGACUUCUGCAAACUAUUUUUAGC